GGGGAUUUGGCUCAGUGGUAGAGCGCUUGCCUAGCAAGUACAAGGCCCUGGGUUCAGUCCCCA
rfam:Rattus norvegicus chromosome 6, whole genome shotgun sequence.